rnacentral:rRNA from 1 species
CAAGUCGAACGAGAAAGUGGAGCAAUCCAUGAGUAAAGUGGCGUACGGGUGAGUAACACGUGGAUCAUCUGCCCUUUUGUGGGGAAUACCGCUGGGAAACCGGCGACAAUACCGCAUAAGCCCGAGAGGGGAAAGCAGCAAUGCGCAGAAGGAGGAGUCCGCGGUCGAUUAGUUAGUUGGCGGGGUAAAGGCCCACCAAGACUGUGAUCGAUAGCCGGCCUGAGAGGGCACACGGCCACACUGGCACUGAAACACGGGCCAGACUCCUACGGGAGGCAGCAGUGGGGAAUCUUGCACAAUGGAGGAAACUCUGAUGCAGCGACGCCGCGUGAGCGAUGAAGCCCCUCGGGGUGUAAAGCUCUUUCGGCAGGGAAGAUUAUGACGGUACCUGCAAAAGCAGCUGCGGCUAACUACGUGCCAGCAGCCGCGGUAAUACGUAGGCAGCAAGCGUUGUUCGGAGUUACUGGGCGUAAAGGGUGUGUAGGCGGCUUUUUAAGUUUGGUGUGAAAUCUCCCGGCUCAACUGGGAGGGUGCGCCGAAUACUGAGAGGCUAGAGUGUGGGAGAGGAAAGUGGAAUUCCUGGUGUAGCGGUGAAAUGCGUAGAUAUCAGGAGGAACACCGGUGGUGUAAACGGCUUUCUGGACCAUAACUGACGCUGAGACACGAAAGCGUGGGUAGCAAACAGGAUUAGAUACCCUGGUAGUCCACGCCCUAAACGAUGCAUAUUUGGUGUGGGCCAUUCAUUUGGUCUGUGCCGGAGCUAACGCGUUAAAUAUGCCGCCUGGGGAGUACAGUCGCAAGGCUGAAGCUCAAAGGAAUUGACGGGGGCCCGCACAAGCGGUGGAGCAUGUGGUUUAUUUC